CGCGGCCUAUCAGCUUGUUGGUGAGGUAAUGGCUUACCAAGGCUUCGACGGGUAACCGGCCUGAGAGGGUGACCGGUCACACUGGGACUGAGACACGGCCCAGACUCCUACGGGAGGCAGCAGUGGGGAAUAUUGCACAAUGGGCGAAAGCCUGAUGCAGCGACGCCGCGUGAGGGAUGACGGCCUUCGGGUUGUAAACCUCUUUCAGUCAGGAACAAGCCUUCGGGUGAGGGUACUGGCAGAAGAAGCACCGGCUAACUACGUGCCAGCAGCCGCGGUAAUACGUAGGGUGCGAGCGUUAUCCGGAAUUAUUGGGCGUAAAGAGCUUGUAGGCGGUUUGUCGCGUCUGCUGUGAAAGCCCGGGGCUUAACUCCGGGUCUGCAGUGGGUACGGGCAGGCUAGAGUGGUGUAGGGGUAACUGGAAUUCCUGGUGUAGCGGUGGAAUGCGCAGAUAUCAGGAAGAACACCGAUGGCGAAGGCAGGUUACUGGGCAUUUACUGACGCUGAGAAGCGAAAGCAUGGGGAGCGAACAGGAUUAGAUACCCUGGUAGUCCAUGCCGUAAACGUUGGGCACUAGGUGUGGGGAGCAUUCCACGUGCUCCGCGCCGUAGCUAACGCAUUAAGUGCCCCGCCUGGGGAGUACGG
rnacentral:rRNA from 1 species